AGCUCUGAGGUGUUUCACGUUAGAUUGCAAACCUAAAGAAGUAGGUUAGUUACCUGCCAGGGCUU
rnacentral:tRNA from 1 species